rnacentral:rRNA from 1 species
CAUGUACGGAACUCCCCAGAGAUGGCUUAGUGCGGAAAAGAGCACCGUAACACAGGAGCCCCGUGGCUGUUGUCAGCUCGUGUCGUGAGAUGGAGGGUUAAGUCCCGCAACGAGCGCAACCCUUGUCAUUAGUUGCUACAUUUAGUGGGGCACUCUAAUGAGACUGCCGGUGACAAACCGGAGGAAGGUGGGGAUGACGUCAAGUCCUCAUGGCCCUUAUAGGUAGGGCUACACACGUCAUACAAUGGCUGGUACAAAGGGUUGCCAACCCGCGAGGGGGAGCUAAUCCCAUAAAACCAGUCGUAGUCCGGAUCGCAGUCUGCAACUCGACUGCGUGAAGUCGGAAUCGCUAGUAAUCGUGGAUCAGAAUGUCACGGUGAAUA